AUUGAACGCUGGCGGAAUGCUUCACACAUGCAAGUCGAACGGUAGAGGGGGCAACCCCUCGAGAGUGGCGAACGGGUGAGUAAUAUAUCGGAACGUGCCCAGUCGUGGGGGAUAACGUAGCGAAAGUUACGCUAAUACCGCAUACGAUCUACGGAUGAAAGCGGGGGAUCGCAAGACCUCGCGCGAUUGGAGCGGCCGAUAUCAGAUUAGGUAGUUGGGGGGGUAAAGGCUCACCAAGCCAACGAUCUGUAGCUGGUCUGAGAGGACGACCAGCCACACUGGAACUGAGACACGGUCCAGACUCCUACGGGAGGCAGCAGUGGGGAAUUUUGGACAAUGGACGCAAGUCUGAUCCAGCCAUUCCGCGUGCAGGAUGAAGGCCCUCGGGUUGUAAACUGCUUUUGUACGGAACGAAAAGGUUUCCAUUAAUACUGGGAGCUCAUGACGGUACCGUAAGAAUAAGCACCGGCUAACUACGUGCCAGCCGCCGCAGUAA
rnacentral:rRNA from 1 species